GACGAACGCUGGCGGCGUGCCUAACACAUGCAAGUCGAGCGGAGAUUGUAAGAAGGCUUGCCUUAAUACAGUCUUAGCGGCGGACGGGUGAGUAACGCGUGGGCAACCUGCCCUGCACAGGGGGAUAACACUGGGAAACCAGUGCUAAUACCGCAUAAAGCCAAGGAAAGGCAUCUUUCUAUGGCCAAAGGAGUAAUCCGGUGUAGGAUGGGCCCGCGUCCGAUUAGCUAGUUGGCGAGGUAACAGCUCACCAAGGCGACGAUCGGUAGCCGAACUGAGAGGUUGAUCGGCCACAUUGGGACUGAGACACGGCCCAGACUCCUACGGGAGGCAGCAGUGGGGAAUAUUGCACAAUGGGGGAAACCCUGAUGCAGCAACGCCGCGUGAAGGAUGAAGGUUUUCGGAUCGUAAACUUCUUUGAUUGGGGACGAAAAAGACGGUACCCAAGGAACAAGCCACGGCUAACUACGUG
rnacentral:rRNA from 1 species